UACGUAGGGGGCAAGCGUUGUCCGGAAUUAUUGGGCGUAAAGCGCACGCAGGCGGUUCGCUAAGUUCGAGGUGACAAUCACCGGCUUAACCGGUGAACGAUUUCGAAAACUGGCGGACUUGAGAGCGAGAGAGGGACAUGGAACUCCGGGUGGAGCGGUGAAAUGCGUAGAGAUCCGGAAGAACACCAAUAGCGAAGGCAGUGUCCUGGCUCGUAUCUGACGCUGAGGUGCGAAAGCUAGGGGAGCGAACGGG
rnacentral:rRNA from 1 species